ensembl:lncRNA
CCCAGGGGCUGAGUAGCAGUUGAGCCAGGGUAGGCAGCAGGUGAGGCAGGAAACUGGUAAUCUGGAGGUGCCAGAGAUUUUUCCUCUGUAGUAAAAAGGUACAGAGGAGGGAGCUGUAGGAAGAGCUCCCCUUCUCCAGAGCUGAAGUUCGGCAGCUGCAGCCCCAUGUGAUCGGACAUCAAAGAUGUGACAGGUCUUUUACUGGCGUCUUUGCAUCUGUCAUCUGAUUUAUCCACUGAAGUGUGUUUCUGCAGAAUGAGGCCCUGUAUAAGGAUAGUAUAAAAAAGGUAUGCAAUACUGCUGGACUUCAUGUAUCUAUUCUGGCUGACUGACACACUUUGGAGAGGCCUGUGAGCAUGAUUUCCUCAAGUGCUGGGACAGCUGGACACUCUGAUGGUGGGGAAAAGAAAAAAAGAAAAAAAAAAGGAAAAAAGAAAAAAAAAAGGAAAAAAAAACCUUUUAUUGCUUACUUUCCAACAAGGAAAAACUUCAAGGAACAGACACGAGUUUCUCCCCUUUGCCACCAGAUGUCCCUCCUGAGCAGGGAAAUCUGCUGGUCUGAAAGCUGCCCAGGCGCUGGAUCCACAACGUUUCUGAAGACGAGAGAGGGAAAGGAAAGUUUGAGUGAAAGCAACAGUUAGUGCAGGGUUUUGGAUGGAUGAAGUGCUGAGAUGUCUCCUUGGCAAGAGAAACAUUUUGCCGGUAGCACUGUAACGUAUGUUUAAUUAACUCCUAAAAUGUGUCAUAACUUGCAGCAUAAUAUACGGCUAUCCUCCAGAGAGCUAGGUAUGCACUUCUCUUCUGAAGUGGGAACAUCCUUGGCAGAAAUGAUGGUAGCAAUCCUUGGCACUUUCAGAUGGAUGUCUGAAAUCCAUAGCUGCAAAUGACCACUGUAAGAAGACUUAAUUCUUUCCUCCCUAAGUUGCUGAGUGCUGCAGUGACUUUUCCAGGUCUGGUAACGUUAGCUGAAACCCAAAGUGCAGCAUUCAUGUCUACACGUGAGAGGCAUUUCCAGGGAUUAGGAAUCUACAUCUCUGGGAAGCACUGCUGAAGAAAAGCCAAAGACUCAACAAAAAGGGCAAUGACUUAUGAAGGAGUGUGGUUAGCUUCCUAGCACCGCACAGGAACUUACCAAGAAGAUAAUUUGAUGGGGAAGUGCUUUAAGGCUCACUGUGUGCUCACGGCCCCAGACUGCAUCGAGCUCAGGUGCCCAAACACUGUUAUUACAGCCAACUGUUAUUACAGCUGCUAUUUACUGCAGAAACACACAUGCAAGUGGAAAUGCUCAAAGUGUUUUUCUUUCGGAGGGAAAAACAUACAGGUGAUGCACGUUUGCUACUUAGCAGAAACGUGUGACAUCUGCCCUGGAGUGUAAAGUCAUCUGCCUGACUUUAAGGGGAGCUGGGGACAGGUUAUACUGGAGGGCUUGCUCUUCAGAGAUAGACAUACAAUGUGGUAUGUUCCUCUGUAGCUGUCAAAACAGGAAGCAGUGGCUCUGAAGCUUUGCUGGAGAAAGCAAUGUAAGCUACACCCGAGCAGUCGUGGCAAGUGGGAAGUGAAUGGCACAGAAGUGGCUCCUCGCUUCCCUGACCACCCUGGGGUUGAAGUACCUGCAUGGGAAAUCUCCUUGUGACCUCAUGCUGACACCAGAGCUCCUCCACUUCUUCCCUGUCCUCUGAAUGCCCCUCACAAAGCAGACAGAGAAAAGGCCUCCUUGGUGGGCUUAGGAGUGGCGUGGGAAAGCGUGUGCACUGAGUCCUCCUUUGGGGAGACCUUAAAAGAUGAGGUUUUUUUCCUUCCCCCAAAAGCUUUUAAGUAACAGCAUUAUGGUGUUCCUUGACUGGUGGAGUUAAAACACCCAUGCAUAACCUAACUUGCACACGAGCAAAUGCUCAGUGCAACCUCUGCUUGUGAAAAUAACAUCUUCUGUCUUGAACAUUCUCAGAUGUGUCUCUGGGAAACGGAAUACGAGCUUAUUGCCAGAUUCUGAUUCUAAUAAAGCUAAUGGAAGCGUUGCCAGUGACUUCAAAUGGUCCAGAUACUACUCUCAGGGCCAACUCCCAUGAAAUUCUCCCAGUUCAAACCCCCGAGCGCUUCCACUGAUUUCUGAGGGGCUACCCUGGCUUUACUCAUCCACCCCAAGCAAGACCCACGAAGUCAGAGACACGUGGAAGAGCUGUCUCUUGGUAUCCCAACGGCAACUAAAGAGAGGUGGUUUCCCCCACUCCAUUUUAUGAAGGAGCUGAAAUCAGAGCUGUGAUCUACCAGCUUUGCUGUCAGAACGGGUAGAUGCUCUUUUACAGCAGCGUCACCUUUUUCACCGUGCACCUGUGCAGAUCGGCACUUUGUUGACCAAGGCAGGAGGGGGUUACCUGCGCUUAGGAUGUACCAAGGGGCUGCGAUAGGUUGUGUCUGCUGUUCUAGGAAAAGGUGACAGCGAACAGCUCAUCUGUGUCCUCGUAACGAACGCUCCACCCUCCCUAAAGGUAGCAGAAGAGAGAUGCGACGGCUCUAACGGCCCGAACCCCGUAUUUCAUCUACAAAGCCCGCACCGCAGACCAGAGGCGGAGAACCUCCGGCAGCUCGCGGGGCCGCCGCUCCGCAACCUGCUGCUGCCGGCACGGAGCUGCGCCCACCGCUCCGCCCCGGGGCAGCGCUACCUGCGCC